rnacentral:rRNA from 1 species
CAGCAGCCGCGGUAAUACGGAGGGGGCAAGCGUUGUUCGGAAUUAUUGGGCGUAAAGGGCAUGUAGGCGGUUUGGUAAGUUAGAGGUGAAAUACCAGGGCUUAACCCUGGGGCUGCUUUUAAUACUGCAGGACUAGAGUCCGGAAGAGGAUAGCGGAAUUCCUAGUGUAGAGGUGAAAUUCGUAGAUAUUAGGAGGAACACCAGUGGCGAAGGCGGCUGUCUGGUCCGGUACUGACGCUGAGGUGCGAAAGC